UCCCUCAUAGCUCAGUCGGUAAAGAAUCUGCCUGCAACGCAGGAGACCUGGGUUUGAUUCCUGGGUCGGGAA
rnacentral:tRNA from 1 species